rnacentral:rRNA from 1 species
UUUUGCCGGCGAGCGGCGGACGGGUGAUAUAGCUGGAAAUUGCCAGUCGAGGGGAUAACAGUUGGAAACGAUGGUAAUACCGGAUACGCCCUACGGGGGAAAGCAGGGACCUUCGGGCCCUGCGCGAUUGGAUAUGCCCAGGUGGGGAUUAGCUAUGUGAGGUAAUGGCUCACCAAGGCGACGAUCCCUAGCUGGUCUGAGAGGAUGAUCAGCCACACUGGAACUGAGACACGGUCCAGACUCCUACGGGAGGCAGCAGUGGGGAAUAUUGCACAAUGGGGGAAACCCUGAUGCAGCCAUGCCGCGUGUGUGAAGAAGGCCUUCGGGUUGUAAAGCACUUUCAGCGAGGAGGAAAGGUCAGUACUAAUAUCUGCUGGCUGUGACGUUCUCGCAAAAAAGCACGGUUAACUCGUGCACAGCCGGAUACGGAGGUGCACGUAUCGAUUACUGGGGCGUAAAAGCGCACGCAGGCGGUUGGAUAAGUUAGAUGUGAAAGCCCCCGGGGCUCAACCUGGGAAUUUGCUUUUAAAACUGUCCAGGUUAAGUCUUUGGUAAAGGGGGGGUAAAAUUCCCAGGGUNUUACGGGGUGAAAUUGNGUUA